rnacentral:rRNA from 1 species
AUGCAGAAGGUUAUCGAUCACGGUAGUAGUGUUAAUGCAAGUGCUUCAAGCGGUGAGCACGGUGACGAGCAGAUGUCCCAUGGGGGUGCUUCGAAGGUGUCGCCUUUGGUUCGCGCUCGGAAGCUGAAUGCAAACCAGUUAGCUGCGGAGGUUCUCCGCCUUCGAAUGAAAGGCAAGCAUGAAGAAGCUGACAGAGAAUAUCAGAGAGGAAUGGACGCUGUGCUGCAGAAUCAAGGCACUUCUGUUGAUGAGCCUACGCAUGAGAAGGGAAGGAGCUCAAUCAGGCAUAAGCAUGCUAUAGCUGCUGAACACAGGAAAGGAGAAUAGGAUGUUGACCUGCAUGCUGCAAAUAUAAUUAUUCAGAACAGACAUUACGACAUGUCUAGGUGCGUAGAGGAUGAGUACAAUCUGGGUGAUGCUCCCAGCAGGAAGAGUAAAGAUGCACCUGAGGAGAAGGGCACCCAUAGACACAUUUUAACCCACAGAGAGCGCUGUCUGUAUUGUUUUGAUAACCCAUCCAGGCCAAAGCAUCUGGUUAUUGCUGUAGGAAACCUCACUUAUUUGAUGCUGCCACAGUUCGAGCCCGUUGUUCCAGGGCACUGUAUCAUUCUUCCGUUGCAGCACGAGUCUGCAACAAGAAUAGCUGAUGGUGGUGCUUGGGAGGAGAUCCGUAACUUCAAAAAGUGCCUCCUGAAGAUGUUCGCGCAGCAUGGCAAGGACGUGAUUUUCUUGCAGACGGUGGUAGCCUUGGCCAAGCAACGAAGACACUGCAUGAUCGAAUGCAUCCCUGUCCCCUGUGAAGUUUCACACAAAGCGCCCAUGUACUUCAAAAAGAGUUUGGGCUGGACCGUGGGUUUGUCCACGUGA